rnacentral:tRNA from 2 species
GUAAAUAUAGUUUACCUAAAACCCUAGACUGUGAAUCUAGAAACAGAAGCUCAUAUCUUCUUAUUUACC